AAUUGGAGGGCAAGUCUGGUGCCAGCAGCCGCGGUAAUUCCAGCUCCAAUAGCGUAUAUUAAAGUUGCUGCAGUUAAAAAGCUCGUAGUUGAAUUUCGGGACCAAUAUGUCGGUCGUGCUUUUGUACGUACUGAUAUAAUUGGUUUCUCCCUUCUGAAGAACCUUGAUGUCAUUAAUUUGGUGUCUUGGGGAAUCAGGACUGUUACUUUGAAAAAAUUAGAGUGUUUAAAGCAGGCUCGCGCUUGAAUACAUUAGCAUGGAAUAAUGAAAUAGGACGUUUGAUUCUAUUUUGUUGGUUUCUAGGAUCGACGUAAUGAUUAAUAGGGAUAGUUGGGGGCAUUAGUAUUCAAUUGUCAGAGGUGAAAUUCUUGGAUUUAUUGAAGACUAACUACUGCGAAAGCAUUUGCCAAGGAUGUUUUCAUUAAUCAAGAACGAAAGUUAGGGGAUCGAAGACGAUCAGAUACCGUCGUAGUCUUAACCAUAAACUAUGCCGACCUAGGGAUCGGAUGAUGUUAAUUUUUUAAUGACUCAUUCGGCGCCUUACGGGAAACCAAAGUGU
rnacentral:rRNA from 1 species